GCUUGGAACCAUGACUUCUUCUGGGAAUCAAUGAAACCAGGUGGUGGGGGAAAACCAUCUGGAGAACUUUUUGAUCUGAUUGAGAAAGAUUUUGGCUCUUUUGAUCAAUUUGUUGAACAGUUCAAGUCUGCUGCAGCUACUCAGUUUGGUUCUGGUUAGGCAUGGCUUACAUACAAUGCAUCAGGGAAGGACAAAAAGCUUGAAAUCAUAAAAAGUCUUAAUGCCGAGAAUCUGCUUGUGAUUGACUACUUUCCACUCCUCACUAUCGAUGUCUGGGAGCAUGCUUAUUUCCUUGAUUUCCAGAAUCGGCGACCGGAUUACAUAUCAACGUUCAUGGAGAAACUUGUAUCUUGGGAAGCAGUUAGUGUUAGACUUGAGAAAGCAAAGGUUCAAGCUGCGAA